GACGAACGCUGGCGGCGUGCUUAACACAUGCAAGUCGAGCGGAGCGGCGAACGGGUGAGUAACGCGUGAGUAACUGCCCCCCUCUCUGGGAUAACAGUUGGAAACGGCUGCUAAUCCCGGAUAGUGGGGGAUGACUCGCGUCCUAUCAGCUUGUUGGUGGGGUAGUGGCCUACCUAGGCGACGAUCCCUAGCUGGUCUGAGAGGAUGACCAGCCACAGUGGACUGGGACACGGUCCAGACUCCUACGGGAGGCAGCAGUGGGGAAUAUUGCACAAGGGGCGCAAGCCUGAUGCAGCCAUGCGCGUGUAUGAAGAAGGCCUUCGGGUUGUAAAGUACUUUCAGCGAGGAGGCCUUGGUGAUUGACGGUACCCGCAGAAGAAGCACCGGCUAACUCCGUGCCAGCAGCCGCGGUAAUUC
rnacentral:rRNA from 1 species